rnacentral:rRNA from 1 species
CAGCCGCCGCGGGAAUACGGAGGGUGCAAGCGUUAUCCGGAUUCACUGGGUUUAAAGGGUGCGUAGGCGGAUCUGUAAGUCAGUGGUGAAAUCUCCAGGCUUAACCUGGAAACUGCCGUUGAUACUAUAGGUCUUGAAUUUUGUGGAGGUUAGCGGAAUAUGUCAUGUAGCGGUGAAAUGCAUAGAUAUGACAUAGAACACCAAUUGCGAAGGCAGCUGGCUACACAACUAUUGACGCUGAGGCACGAAAGCGUGGGGAUCAAACAGGAUUAGAUACCCGCGUAGUCCCUGUCUCUUAUAA